AGAGUUUGAUCCUGGCUCAGAACGAACGCUGGCGGCGUGCUUAACACAUGCAAGUCGAACGUGAUUCAGAGCUUGCUCUGAUGAAAGUGGCGCACGGGUGAGUAACGCGUGGAUAACCUGCCCUGGUAUCUGGGAUAACAUCUCGAAAGGGGUGCUAAUACCGGAUAAGCCCACGGGAUCCUCGGAUUCUGCGGGAAAAGGUGGCCUCUAUUUAUAAGCUACCGUAUCAUGAUGGGUCCGCGUACCAUUAGCUAGUUGGUGGGGUAAUGGCCUACCAAGGCGACGAUGGUUAGCUGGUCUGAGAGGAUGAUCAGCCACACUGGUAACUGAGACACGGUCCAGACUCCUACGCGGAGGCAGCAGAUGGGGAAUUUU
rnacentral:rRNA from 1 species